rnacentral:rRNA from 1 species
GACGAACGCUGGCGGCGUGCUUAACACAUGCAAGUCGAACGGAAAGGCCCUGCUUUUGUGGGGUGCUCGAGUGGCGAACGGGUGAGUAACACGUGAGUAACCUGCCCUUGACUUUGGGAUAACUUCAGGAAACUGGGGCUAAUACCGGAUAGGAGCUCCUGCUGCAUGGUGGGGGUUGGAAAGUUUCGGCGGUUGGGGAUGGACUCGCGGCUUAUCAGCUUGUUGGUGGGGUAGUGGCUUACCAAGGCUUUGACGGGUAGCCGGCCUGAGAGGGUGACCGGCCACAUUGGGACUGAGAUACGGCCCAGACGCCUACGGGAGGCAGCGGUGGGGAAUAUUGCACAAUGGGCGGAAGCCUGAGGCAGCAACGCCGCGUGCGGGAUGACGGCCUUCGGGUUAUAAACCGCUUUCGCCUGUGACGAAGCGUGAGUGACGGUAAUGGGUAAAGAAGCACCGGCUAACUACGUG